rnacentral:rRNA from 1 species
AACAUCUAAGUACCCCGAGGAAAAGAAAUCAACCGAGAUUCCCCCAGUAGCGGCGAGCGAACGGGGAGGAGCCCAGAGCCUGAAUCAGCAUGUGUGUUAGUGGAAGCGUCUGGAAAGGCGCGCGAUACAGGGUGACAGCCCCGUACACAAAAGCGCAUGUGCUGUGAGCUCGAUGAGUAGGGCGGGACACGUGGUAUCCUGUCUGAAUAUGGGGGGACCAUCCUCCAAGGCUAAAUACUCCUGACUGACCGAUAGUGAACCAGUACCGUGAGGGAAAGGCGAAAAGAACCCCGGCGAGGGGAGUGAAAAAGAACCUGAAACCGUGUACGUACAAGCAGUGGGAGCACAGGUUUACCUGUGUGACUGCGUACCUUUUGUAUAAUGGGUCAGCGACUUAUAUUCUGUAGCAAGGUUAACCGUAUAGGGGAGCCGAAGGGAAACCGAGUCUUAACCGGGCGUUAAGUUGCAGGGUAUAGACCCGAAACCCGGUGAUCUAGCCAUGGGCAGGUUGAAGGUUGGGUAACACUAACUGGAGGACCGAACCGACUAAUGUUGAAAAAUUAGCGGAUGACCUGUGGCUGGGGGUGAAAGGCCAAUCAAACCGGGAGAUAGCUGGUUCUCCCCGAAAGCUAUUUAGGUAGCGCCUCGUGAAUUCAUCUCCGGGGGUAGAGCACUGUUUCGGCUAGGGGGCCAUCCCGGCUUACCAACCCGAUGCAAACUGCGAAUACCGGAGAAUGUUAUCACGGGAGACACACGGCGGGUGCUAACGUCCGUCGUGAAGAGGGAAACAACCCAGACCGCCAGCUAAGGUCCCAAAGUCAUGGUUAAGUGGGAAACGAUGUGGGAAGGCCCAGACAGCCAGGAUGUUGGCUUAGAAGCAGCCAUCAUUUAAAGAAAGCGUAAUAGCUCACUGGUCGAGUCGGCCUGCGCGGAAGAUGUAACGGGGCUAAACCAU